rnacentral:tRNA from 1 species
UCCUGGCGUACGCAGGAUUGAAAGCCCCGUAGUGGACUGGGUGCCGGACAGUGCGGCCGGCAUCAGCAGGGUUCGAUUCCCUGCCGGGGC